UACGGAGGGUGCAAGCGUUAUCCGGAUUUACUGGGUUUAAAGGGUGCGUAGGUGGGUAGGUAAGUCAGUGGUGAAAUCUUCGAGCUUAACUCGGAAACUGCCAUUGAUACUAUUUAUCUUGAAUACUUUGGAGGUAAGCGGAAUAUGCCAUGUAGCGGUGAAAUGCUUAGAUAUGACAUAGAACACCAAUUGCGAAGGCAGCUUACUACACAGUCAUUGACACUGAGGCACGAAAGCGUGGGGAUCAAACAGG
rnacentral:rRNA from 1 species